CCCCAUGGUCGCCUUCUAGGCUUCAGCAUGGACAAGGUUUUAAUGUCCAGUAGCCCCAUGCUGGACAUUAUGAAAAUCCCCAGGACUGGUCAUGAGGAAGCCAACCAUGCUAUGGGAAAGGCAUAGAAGCAAAUUCUCACUUUUUUAUUUUCUUUAUUGAUUAAGGUAUUAUAGAUGUGUCCUAAUUCUCACUUUUUAUAUUCUCCUUUGUCUAGACUGUAUGUAGAGCACAGACAACAAGGAAAAACCCCUUAUUCCUUUAGACAAAUAAUUGAGGAGUUGUCUUGGUUACAUGAUAGUCUUCUUAAUCAGAUUUUGUUCUAUAAGUAAAACAAUUACAUCACCACAGAGUUGGUGACUUCUGUGGUUAGCUUAUUUAUUUUGUGUUGUUAUUUCUAAGUGUGGCAUGGCAACUCUUUUGAGCUUUGUGGCACCAACUCACAAGUGCCCCACCUCACACUGGAUUUGAAUUGUUUUCUAGGCUUUUUUGCUUGUCUUUACUUUUGCCAUAUCUAGAGUUGAUAAACUCCUAAAAAGCAAAGGCAGUUGUCCAUUUCUUUUCUAUUUCCUAGCACAGGACUAGAUAUGUGUUCAAGGAGAGAGUAGCAAUCAUUUUAACCUUUACAGUUAUAAAUAUGCUUUUUACAUAAUCAUUGUCAUAAUGAUCCUAUGAAACGGGCAUCAUUUUCAUUCACCGGGUGAGAAAGUAGUCCAGAGAGACUAAGUGACUUGCUCCUUUAAUUGGCAGAGCUGUGACUUGAACCCAGGUUUUUAAACUCCAAUUCCUAGGCACCUUUGCAAUCAGAAUAAAGUUAUCCUUAGGACCUCAAGUUGACUGUUUUUAAGUUUGUUUUU